AACGAACGCUGGCGGCAUGCCUAACACAUGCAAGUCGAACGAGACCUUCGGGUCUAGUGGCGCACGGGUGCGUAACGCGUGGGAACCUGCCCUUAGGUUCGGAAUAACUCCCCGAAAGGGGUGCUAAUACCGGAUAAUGUCUUCGGACCAAAGAUUUAUCGCCUUUGGAUGGGCCCGCGUUGGAUUAGCUAGUUGGUAGGGUAAAAGCCUACCAAGGCGACGAUCCAUAGCUGGUCUGAGAGGAUGAUCAACCACACUGGGACUGAGACGCGGCCCAGACUCCUACGGGAGGCAGCAGUGGGGAAUAUUGGACAAUGGGCGAAAGCCUGAUCCAGCAAUGCCGCGUGAGUGAUGAAGGCCUUAGGGUUGUAAAGCUCUUUUACCCGGGAUGAUAAUGACAGUACCGGGAGAAUAAGCUCCGGCUAACUCCGUG
rnacentral:rRNA from 1 species